GUUGCCAGAUGGGCUAGUUUGAGUGUUUCAGCAACUGCUGAUCUACUGGGAUUUUCAUACACAACCAUCUCUAGGGUUCACAGAGAAUGAUCUGAAAAAGAUAAAAUAUCCAGCAACAAAAAUUUGUGUGG